rnacentral:tRNA from 1 species
CCUCUGGUAGCUUAGUGAUCAGAGCACUAGUGCGUAAAACCAGAGGUCCUAGGUUCGAUUCCUGGCGAGGGUG